GACGAACGCUGGCGGCGUGCCUAAUACAUGCAAGUAGAACGCACAGUUUAUACCGUAGCUUGCUACACCAUAGACUGUGAGUUGCGAACGGGUGAGUAACGCGUCGGUAACCUGCCUGGUAGCGGGGGAUAACUAUUGGAAACGCUAGCUAAUACCGCAUAAUAUUAAUUAUUGCAUGAUAAUUAAUUGAAAGGUGCAAUUGCACCACUACCAGAUGGACCUGCGUUGUAUUAGCUAGUAGGUGAGGUAACGGCUCACCUAGGCGACGAUACAUAGCCGACCGGAGAGGAUGAGCGGCCACACUGGGACUGAGACACGGCCCAGACGCAUACGGGAGGCAGCAGUAGGGAAUCUUCGGCAAUGGACGAAAGUCUGACCGAGCAACGCCGCGUGAGUGAAGAAGGUUGUCGGAUCGGAAAGCUCUGUUGUAAGAGAAGAACGGGUGUGAGAGUGGAAAGUUCACACUGUGACGGUAUCGGACCAGAAAGGGACGGCUAACUACGUG
rnacentral:rRNA from 1 species